AUGGCGGACCCGUCCCGGCGCCUGGGGGAGAGCUCCCGCCGCCGCCGCCCGCCAGGGGAGGAGCGGCGGGAGCCGCCCGGCACCGGGCGCUGCCGGACGCGCCACAGGCUGAAGUCGGCCGCGGCCCUGGCCCGCGCGGGAAGCGAGGGCCCGGCGGUGAACAUGACCUCAGAUAAGGAGUUUGCAGAAGAUAGCAAUUUUUCACCAAAAGCCAGCACCAGUAAGCUGCCGACAGAUGCAUCUCCCGACUCCAAGUGCCCCAUCUGCCUGGAUAGAUUUGACAACGUUGCAUAUCUAGAUCGCUGCUUGCAUAGGUUCUGCUUCCGCUGUGUCCAAGAAUGGUCAAAAAACAAAGCAGAAUGCCCGCUCUGCAAGCAGCCCUUUUUUUCCAUUUUCCACACGAUUCGUGCUGAAGAUGACUUCAAGGAGUACAUACUCAGCCCUUUAGAAACCAGCUCUUUUGCCAGCCCUGAUGGCCGGAGAUUUCGUUAUCGCACCACCUUAACCAGGGAACGGCGCGCGCGCAGUUCCCCUUCCCGAAGGAUGCUGUCCUCUCCAGAUAACGGGAUGUUGUUUGAAGGGCUGUCAAGCGAGCCAACGCGACACAGGCACAGAGAGAUUCAGCAGAUGAUCAGGAGGCUGGCCUCGAGGAGAAAGGCGAGCGCAGAGGGCAGAUCUCUGCGACAGAUCCAGGAGGAGGACAUGAUCAACUUCCGCAGGGCUCUGUACCGCACUGGCGUGCGCAUCCGCAGCAUUCAGGACGGUGGCCGAUACCGAGAGAUUUCGGCAGAGUUCUUCCGCCGCAACCCUGCUUGCCUUCACCGCUUGGUUCCUUGGUUGAAGCGGGAGCUUACAGUCCUGUUUGGUGCCCAUGGAUCUUUGAUCAAUAUCGUGCAGCACAUCAUCAUGAGUAACGUAACUAGAUACGAUCUGGAAAGUCAGGCCUUUGCUGAUGAUAUAAAGCCAUUUCUGCUGAAUCGGACAGAGCACUUCCUACAUGAAUUCAUCAGUUUUGCUCGUUGUCCUUUUAACUUAGAAGCGUAUGAUCAGCACGCCAAUUAUGACUGUCCUGCACCAUCAUAUGAGGAAGGAAGCCACUCAGACUCAUCAAUUAUUACAAUAUCUCCAGACGUGGCAUACCCACAAGGGCCGGAUAAUAGCUUGUCUGUGCCUGGCCUUGGUCAGGCUCCCUGGGAUGAUGAAACUCCAGGGCCUUCCUAUUCCAUUUCAGAAGAGGUUCGUGCAACCAUAGCUUCUCCUCUGGAGUCAUCAGAAAGUUCUGAUGAGGACUCUGUUACAGGGAGUAGAAGAGCCCAACUGCCAACUGAGUUACAGGCUAAUGCUGACUCAAACGACAGUGGCUCUUCCUCAGACAAUUGUGUCAUUGUUGGGUAUGUGAAGCCAUUAGCUGAGAGGACACCAGAAGUGGUUGAGCUGUCCUCUGACUCUGAGGAUUCCAUUAAAGAGGAGAGAAAGGAAGAUGUCAAGAAGCAGCGACCGGUCCAGCAUCACAGCUGGAGUGACAGUGAACCAAGCAGGAGCUUCUCACCACAUUCCCCAACAUAUAGGGAGGAUGUAGGAAUUUGUAGAAGCUGUUUAUCUCCUGCAGUUGAGAAGAUGGAAUCAAAAGAGGAUGAGAAGAACAAAUGUAAAAGAAAAGAUCUGCCUCCACAGGACUUGAGUUGGAGCCCCUCUCCAGGGAGUGACACAGUAUGCUCCCCUUGGAAUCACCGAUUGUCUAAAAAGGGAAGGUCCAGAAGCCCACAGUCCUGUUCACGGGACAGUCGAAGCAGUCAUGGCCAUCGGUCUAGGAGGGAGCACCAUAGCAAAAGCCAACUUAAAAGGAGACGAUCGAGAAGCAGAGAUAGUAGCAAACAUAGGAGGAAAAGAAGCAGCAGAAGGUCAAGGGCUCAUGACAGCAGAACCUCUCUGAAAAGCCAGAAGGGCUCUCUAAGUGGUGAGAGCACUCCAUCCAGAGAAGUGAGCAGAUCACGUUCACGUAGCAAAGGCCACAGUAAAAGGAGAUCAAGAAGUAGAGACAGUGAUCGCUAUUAUGUAAGAGACAGUUACCAAAGUAGACACCAGUGGGGUUCUGCAUUCUGUAGUAGAAAGAUGUUUGGUGACAGCUAUGAAUCGUCUAGCAGAAGGAGGACCCGGUCUAACACUCUUUACUCAAGGCAAUCUGCUAGUCCAGAGUACAGGAUACGAUCAUUUAUUGAGAGGACAGAUCUGCAUAGCCAGAGGGGACUCCAUGAGAGACACUAUUACUGUUAUGAAAGAUGCAGGUCAAGGAGUCGGUCAAGCAACAGAUCAAGGACUCCUUCUGGAGGAACUGACAGAAUGAAAAGUGAAAAGCCUGGUGGAAAAAGGAAGUACAAAACUCGCCACCUGGAGAAUGCAUUCAUGGAGAGCACAAGCCUAGAAAGAGAAAAUGAUUCCAAGAAAACUUCCGCAAAAUUUAGUGACUGCUGUAGAAAUGAGGAUAGCCUGUCAGACAAUCAUGCAAGCAGUGAGACAAAGCGUAAGAAAAGGAAGAAGAAAAUGAGGAGUCCAAGUGUGGAGAUAGUCUACGAAGGAAAAGCAACAGACACAAUGAGGCAUCUUAAAAAGAAAAAGAAAAAGCAUAAGAAGAAACACCGGAAACAUCACAUGAGUAACUCAGUGCAUUCUUCUCCAGUGGUGAUUACGAUUGAUAGUGAUAGUAGCAAGGAGCCAGAAAGUACUGAAUGGGACAGCAGUAUUACAUGGACAGGGGCAACUCAGAUAAAUGAGAGGGAAAAUGAGUCUCCAGCUUCUUUUCUGAGGAGGACAGGAUGUGAAGAAACUAGAGGAGCAGACAACAAGUGUGUUAUCCCUGCCACAAAGGAAAACUUAGAUGGUGGUGUUGGAAAUGCUGAUGUCAAACUUCAAGAAACAAUAGCUGAUCAGAGUGCUACCACAGUGAAUACUCACAAUAACACCUCUCACACAGAAACUGUAACCAGUUAUGUUCAGGAAGCACCAGCAGCGCCUUCCAGUCAACUGCCUUGCCCCAGGACUUCCUUCUUAGAGUGUCCAGAGGGAGAGCCAUUGAUACUAAGACUGCCAAAGAGACUUGUUGACAGAUCCUCGUGGUUUGAUUUCCCUGAAGAAAAAAUGUAGUAGGCUUUGCUUGGAACUCUUGUUAAAACUGAAUUUUUUUUUAAACUCCUUUUCUUUUUUUUUUUUUUUUUCCUUGUGAACUAAAAUGUCUGAUAGGUUUUCUGUCUGUUGAAAAGAUGUCUAGGAAAUGUAUAAAACUUUUCACAGUGUAUGCACUUUUUAGUCAAAGAGGAUAGAAUAUUGCUAGUAUGUAAUUUUAAAGGCUUGUUAGAGGACAGUUUGUAAGUUUUAAUUUCAUAAAGCCAUCUACAGAAUAUUUCAAAGUUUUGUGUAAACCAAACAACAGAAAAGGAGCCUGAAACAGGAGCCAGGAAAUGCAUUUUAUGGGGAUUGCUCUUCUCAGACAAGGGAAACUUUUUUAGUUCAUAAAAAGUGAUUCAGUCUGAAUUCCUGCAUCAUUUCAGUCUCUUUGGAUUAAGCUGAUCUCUGCUGAAAAGUAGUCAGUGAUUUCUACAGAAAUUCUCAAAGAACUUUGAGUGAUUUUAAGGUGUGCAGUACUUCUGAAACAGGUUGCUCCAGCUGCCAGGAAACCUGCUCCUGUGUGUGCUCCUAAGCACAGGCUUCAGCUCCUGAUAGGAGCCUGUUCCUGUGUGGGAUGUCCAUGGGCUGUAGCUUCCAGGAGGGCAUCGCUACCUGCUCUGGAGUGGGGGUUUUCCACAGACUACAGGAGAGGAGAGACAAAUCAGGAUAGGCCUCUCCAAGCCUUCAAAGGGAGUGUUCAGACUGUGCUCUCAAGAACAUGCUGUGUCUCUUCAGGUGUCCUGUGCAGGGCCAGAAGUUGGGCUUGAUGAUCCUGGUGUGUCCCUUCCAACUCAAGAUAUUGUAUGAUACUAUGACUCCAAACCCACACCUCACAGCACAGGAAAUGAGAGCAGUGAUCUGAUUUCCUGGCCAAGCCCUGACAGACUGCCUUCAGGAGGAGAGGCUGGGAAACUGUUUUUUAACAGUGACUCUGGGUCAUCAUUUUCAGCCCAACCCCAAGUCAAGCUAUCAAUCAACCUGUACUGAAUCAGGAAGACAUCUGCAUCUCAACUUUUCUGCAUGCAAGCAAGUUCAUGUAUUUUCUAAGGCUGUGUGGAUGAUAAAGCUAUGGCUUUGCCUCUUCCCCCCGAGAUUGCAACACUACCUACAUUAUAGCUUUAAGGAAAUUUUAAUUAUUUUGAAAAUUGUGUUUCUAGUUCUGAUCAGUCUUAAAAAUGUAGCCAAGCAAGAGUAUCAUCUGUUAAAACAAAAGUCAGUCAACCAGCCUUUGCUGCUCAGCUUUUGCUACCAAUCUGUUAUGCCUGUCACAACAAGUUGACAGAUUGUCACAAUAAAUGGCACAAGUUUAGAAUGUUGUUUUGUUUAGCCUUCAUAUAAGUACUUUGAAACACAUUUUAGUAGACGAGUAUAAUUAAAGUAUAGCAAAUGAAUUCUGAGAGAGGGGAAUAAGUUACAUAGUAGUUUAAAAUUGUUAGAAAGGUAUUUUCUAUUAUUUUUUGUUUAUCUGAGGGGACUGCAAAUUGCCACUAGUGGUUGUGAAUACUGAGGACAUAAAUCUUGAUAAAGAAUUUAUUUCCUGAAAGCAAACUAGGAAUGUGAAUAUUUCAUUUACUUACUCAAAUUACUUAACUGAUAAUCACGACUCAUAAGCAAGCUCAGAUAGUGCAGCCUGCCCAAUAUUCACCCCAUAUGAGGAAGAAAACCUGGUGUCUGUUCCAAAAAAUUAAAAUGCCCAGCCAUUGGUAUAUUUUCAUUGGGUAUUCCUUUUCUGUCUGAUUUUCCACAGAGAUCUGGUGUUUUUCUUUUCCUUCUUCUUUUGCAUCCCGGAGUUAGUCUCUGGACAGAGAUGUAAUUUUGGUUUCAGUUCUCAUUCCUGAUGCAUCAAUAGCCCUUUAAAAGUUCUGUUACCAUGUGUCCAAUAGAGUCUGUAUGUGGGCUCUACUGCCAUCCUCUGUGAUUUUUACUAAUUUGGUAUUGUUAAAACCAAAACUUUUUGCGUUCAUUCUGCUCUAAGACCACCUUCCUGUCUGUCCCCAAUAAGAGUGUUUGAGAUUGGUCAAAAAAUCACCAGCAAGGAUAUGAGCAAAAGUCAGAUUUAA